CCACCCCACCUCCAACCAGGCAGCUGGUUCCCAUUAGAUGUUACAAGCCCUAUAAAUAUUCUUUUUUUUUCUCACUUAUCUCUUAUUAUUUUUCCUUUCCCUUUCUCAUGUUCCUGCCUCAGGAUCCCCUCCUGGGAGGAAGCCUAAAUUAAGAAGGAAGGGAUUGCCAAGGUUUGAAUGUAGCAUCCUGUCAUGGCCCCAGGCUUCUGGCAGAGCAGGACCUAGGAAUGAUGGUGUUGGGCUUGUCCAGUUGUAGCACUGAAGGCUGAACCCCAAUACCCCCAUCCCCCUUCCCUCUAGGACAACUGCAGAGCUGAGCUUAGCCUGAGUUCUUUCUCUUCAAGCCUGCCUGGUCUGAGUUGUGCUGAGCAUUACAUGUUGUGUGGUGUGCUCCGGCUGAGAGUCACCCUCCAAGGACCCAGGUCCCAGACCUCCAGGACCCAGUGUCAACCUGACAUCAAACAAGUUACACAGCCUCCCUCGUUAGUACAGCUGUGCUGAUAACACCCACCACAAAGGACUGUUAGGCCUGUGAAAAUGAGGCGAGUGACAGAAACAAACAAACAACAACAACAACAACAUCAACAACAAAAACCCCCUCUUGGCUUAAGGUCUGAAAGUCUCCUCUUACCACUCUUUGUGGGGUUUACCAUAGAAGAACUCAGCCCUCUUGCUACAGGCCCUUAGAUACCAUCUAAACUGUUAACCGAACCAUCCGGGGUGAGGCCUGAGUCCCCAAAGUCUGAGUCAAGAAGCGAUUGCUUCCUAUUCUUUCCUCCAGCCCACUUUAGAACAGAGAUGAGGAAAGAAUGAAUAUAGAACCCCUGAAUUAGAACACUGUUUACAAUGGUUAGACGUUCUUAUAAACCCAGCAGCAAGAAGCUAUGUCAUUUGAGGCAGUGACCCCAGAGCUAUAGAGUUCUAAGCGUGUCAGGCUAAGUCCGGGUGGCUAAGAAUGCAGCCGCUGUGCUCAGACUGUCUGGGGCUCCACAACCUCGCUCCUCCUUGUCCUAGCCUUGGGGAAGAGCUGAUUUCAUGAGCUUCUUCGCCCCUUUCCUCUGAGGACAGCAAUGGUGCUGACUGCACAGGGUUGUUGUAAGAAUUGAACUGAGGUAGUCUGCUUGAAUAAUCCCUGGCACAGGGAGUGUGCAGUAUAGUACAGGGCCAUCAGAAAGCAGCUGGUCACCAUCAUCGCUAUGUGUAACUGCCUUCCCACGGCCGGAGAACAGUUAAUAACUCAGUCUUCAGCCUAAACUGAAGUAACAGCGUCUUUCAUCUUCCUCCCAAGGUCCUCUCUGAGAAUGGCGAUGCUUUCUGCUCUCUCUGAAGCCUGGCAGGUUUCAGUGCCUAAGCAUAACUGUAAAGUUUUUAUGCAUACACAGCAGCAAAUUUUAUCAUUUAAUUCAUCUAAUACAUGCUUGACUCACGUGUCUACUAGAGUCUGCCUCGGGCGCUACACUGCCACUGUGGAACACCAAGCAUCUCCAUGACUGUGAAGGCUGCUGGAGCAGAUCAGGUCAACAGCAGGG
rnacentral:sRNA from 1 species